GUUAAAAAGCUCGUAGUUGAAC
rnacentral:siRNA from 1 species